rfam:Bacteriophage KVP40, complete genome.
GCGGGUAUGAUGUAAUGGUAGCAUGACGUCCUUCCAAGUCGUUCGUCUCGGUUCGAGUCCGUGUACCCGCU